GAUCAUGGCUCAGGACGAACGCUGGCGGCGUGCUUAACGCAUGCAAGUCGAACGAAAAGAGGGGAAGAGCUUGCUCUUUUCAGAAUUGAGUGGCAAACGGGUGAGUAACACGUAAACAACCUGCCUUCAGGAUGGGGACAACAGACGGAAACGACUGCUAAUACCGAAUAAGUUCCAAGAGCCGCAUGGCCCAUGGAAGAAAAGGUGGCCUCUACCUGUAAGCUAUCGCCUGAAGAGGGGUUUGCGUCUGAUUAGCUAGUUGGUGAGGUAACGGCUCACCAAGGCGACGAUGCGUAGCCGACCUGAGAGGGUGAUCGGCCACAUUGGGACUGAGACACGGCCCAGACUCCUACGGGAGGCAGCAGUGGGGAAUAUUGGGCAAUGGGCGAAAGCCUGACCCAGCAACGCCGCGUGAAGGAAGAAGGUCUUCGGAUUGUAAACUUCUUUUAUGAGGGACGAAGGAAGUGACGGUACCUCAUGAAUAAGCCACGGCUAACUACGUG
rnacentral:rRNA from 1 species